rnacentral:rRNA from 1 species
GGGGAAUCUUGCACAAUGGGGGCAACCCUGAUGCAGCGACGCCGCGUGAGCGAUGAAGCCCUUCGGGGCGUAAAGCUCUUUCGACCGGAACGAUAAUGACGGUACCGGGAGAAGAAGCUGCGGCUAACUACGUGCCAGUAGCCGCGGUAAUACGUAGGCAGCAAGCGUUGUUCGGAGUUACUGGGCGUAAAGAGUGCGUAGGCGGUUUUCUAAGUUCGGUGUGAAAUCUCCCGGCUUAACUGGGAGGGUGCGCCGAAGACUGGGAAGCUGGAGUGUGGGAAAGGCAGGCGGAAUUCCUGGUGUAGCGGUGAAAUGCGUAGAUAUCAGGAGGAACACCGGCGGUGUAGACGGCUUGCUAGACCAUAACUGACGCUGAGGCACGAAAGCGUGGGUAGCAAACA